UACAGAGGUGGCAAGCGUUGUUCGGAAUUACUGGGCGUAAAGGGCGCGUAGGCGGCCAUCUAAGUCAGACGUGAAAUCCCCCGGCUUAACCUGGGAACUGCGUCUGAUACUGGAAGGCUUGAGUAUGGGAGAGGGAUGUAGAAUUCCAGGUGUAGCGGUGAAAUGCGUAGAUAUCUGGAGGAAUACCGGUGGCGAAGGCGGAUCUCUGGGCCUUACCUGACGCUGAGGCGCGAAAGCUAGGGGAGCGAACAGG
rnacentral:rRNA from 1 species